CCUGCAUAAGUAAAGGUGAACCUUUUGUAAAUAAAACAAUAUCCUGCUGCAUCUGGUAGGAACCAGAGAAUGGAAAAUUACCACAGAGAAGACAAGAAACUUCUAGAAAGACUAUGAAACCUUGAAGACAAAACUGAAGGAUUUAUAGCCUUGUAGGACUGUGAGAUGGUAGAGUGCUUUUAUUGUUUUUCCCUCUGAAGGUUGAGAUUUUGAAGGAAAAGUAGUAUGUGGAAAGUGAGUAGCUGGAGAGAUGGGUAGGUAGAGAGCCUCCAUCUCUCCAGCUAUUCAUUCUUAUCUAUAUC
rnacentral:lncRNA from 1 species